rnacentral:lncRNA from 1 species
GUAUGAUUAAUAUGACAUUUCAAGUCAUCAACAUUUUAAAUGACUAUUUGUUUUUGCAGGUGAAGAAGCCUUACAUGAAUACAUGAAGACCAAAGCUGUAACAGUGGAGUAUGGACAGCAGUAAAACAGGUAACUUUAAUUCUCACUUUUAUAUGUGACAUACUCAGUUUAUUUUAAUUUAAUUUGAUUGGCUUUUUGUAGUUUUGAAAACUAAAUUUGAUAGCUUCUAUCCUUUAUUAAUAAGUGUGAUUUUUUUUUUACAUGUAACAUUAUCUAAUUCACUAUGUUGCUAUUCUGCCAUGUUAUGUACACUGCUGUUGUUUCUUGGGAAAUUGAUUUAAAUUGAAGCUUUUCAAAUUAAACGUAUUUAAAUUUUUUUUAAUUAAAAGCUUUUAACAAAUUUUAGAAUGUUUGUUAGUUUGAAAUUUGAUGAUAACUUUAUUUUAAUAAGAGUUUCAUGUUAACUCGCACAAGUGAUAACGGAAAGUUUGAACAAUGUUGUAAUAUUUUCUAUAUCAUAGUUUAUGUUUUCUAUUUUCAGUGACAAAAGUCUUUCAUCAUUUGGUUGAAAUAGAUAUGGCAGACGACACUGUUGUUACUAUAAAUAGAAACAGUUUUCACACCACCUAUCUCUGAGGACAAUUAUCAUUGGCUUAAUAUUUCAUAUACACUCCUUCAAAGACAGACAGAAAAACAAUAAUGUAAUCAGAUGUGUCUCAAGCUAACUUCUGGACAAUAUAUAGGGUUAACAAUCACCUGGGCAUUGUUUAUUUAUGGAGAUGUUUAUUUUUGUUCUAGUCUGGUUUACUACAGCUGAAAUACACAACAAAGUGAAAUUGAUAUUUAUCAGUAUAAUAGCUGUUAGAUGAUAUAUUUCUUAAAGCUUUCACAGAAUGGUAGAAAUAAUUUCACAAAAUUUUUGAAUUGAAAUUGCGUGUAAGCUUAUUUAUUUGAGUUGAUAGAUAUUAUGGUAUCUUAUCAGAUUAUUUAAAUUUUAGUGUUUAAUACAUGUACUUAAGUUUAGAUUUCAGUUUUAGUAUUCAUUAGUAUUUUGCAUGUAGACAAAUUAUUCAUAGCUAAAUCAUUCAAAAUAAAUCAAAAUUUUGUGAUGUGAAAUUGAAUUUAAUGUUGUUUUGACCAUUUUACAUAGAUUAAAAAUGUUCAUGUUUUUCUUCUAAUUUCAUUAUCCACAUUUACCAUAGUUGAGAUUUGGAACACACUGGAUUUCUCUUAAUCUGCAUAUCAAACCAAAAUGUCAAAUAAAAUACUUAAAGACAAAGACUCAUCACGUUUUUAAUUUUUGUUCUUCUUAUCUUUGUGUAAUAAGUUGAACAUAUGUUUUGUUAAGUGACAAAAUAGCAAAAACAAAUUAAGAAAAGGAGGAUUUUGUUUAUGUUUUUCAUCGAUGUAGUGUGUUUAACAUAUUUUUACUAUAAGAAGCAAGCUGAUUUGAUUUUGCUUACAUUUUAAGGUGUUUUGUAAUGGCAGAAGGGGCUUUAGCUUUUGAUGAAUUUGAAAAUUUAUAUAAUGGAUUUCAAUUAAUUUUUAGCUUAUGUUUAUUGGUAUCAGAUGUAAGGUCAAUGAUUUUUAUUGAUGAUUUGUUAUGUUCAGAGGCAGCUAAGUAUUUACAGAUUUUAGUUGUAUCUUUUACUUUUUGCGCAACAAAUUUUAAUAAUCCAAUUAAGAUUUCUGUUAUGAUGACAGGUUGUUUUUGUAUUCAGAAUGAAAAAAGUUCUUGAAUUGAUUGAUAUAUUUUGUUUUGAAUCAUGUUACAAAUUGUUUCAGGUUUCAGAUUUUUAGUGUAACAAAAGGUCACAUGUAACAAAAAGUUCAGCUUUUAAAAUAGUAUAUCUAAGCUGAUUCAACUAGAAAAAGUUUAUUGUUCAGUAAAUUACAAAUGAUUUUUAACUUUAGAAUCUAGAGUUUACAUAUCUAUUUGUGUAUAAUAUGUAUGUAUAUAGCUAGAAGGCUAGUAGAUGUUUGUAUUGAAUAACUACAGUUAACUCUCGUUGUCUCGAACUCGGUUGACUCGAAAUUUCGGAUGAGUCGAAGUUUUCACGUGGUCCCGAACUUUAUUCCAUACAAAAGUAUGUAAUUCGACUACUGAUGAGUCGAAAUUGGAUGAGUCGAAAUUUUGGUUGAGUCGAACUAAAUCUACGGUCCCA